UACGAAGGGUGCAAGCGUUAAUCGGAAUCACUGGGCGUAAAGGGUGCGUAGGCGGCUGUGUAAGUCUGGCGUGAAAGCCCCGGGCUCAGCCCGGGAAGUGCGCUCGAAACUGCGCAGCUCGAGUGCCGGAGGGGAGAGUGGAAUCCUGGUGUAGCGGUGAAAUGCGUAGAUAUACGGAGGAAUACCUGAGGCGAAGGGCGGGUUGCCUGGGCCAACACUGACGCUGAGGCGCGAAAGCCAGGGGAG
rnacentral:rRNA from 1 species